UACGAAGGUCCCGAGCGUUAUCCGGAUUUAUUGGGUUUAAAGGGUGCGUAGGCGGGUUAUUAAGUCAGUGGUGAAAGCCUUCAGCUUAACUGAAGAACUGCCAUUGAUACUGAUGAUCUUGAGUAUGAUUGAGGUGGGCGGAAUGUGUCAUGUAGCGGUGAAAUGCUUAGAUAUGACACAGAACACCGAUUGCGAAGGCAGCUCACUAAGUCAUAACUGACGCUGAUGCACGAAAAGCGUGGGGGAGCAAAACAGG
rnacentral:rRNA from 1 species